UACGUAGGGGGCAAGCGUUGUCCGGAUUUAUUGGGCGUAAAGAGCGUGUAGGCGGCCAGGUAGGUCCGUUGUGAAAACUCGAGGCUCAACCUCGAGACGCCGAUGGAAACCCCCUGGCUAGAGUCCGGAAGAGGAGAGUGGAAUUCCUGGUGUAGCGGUGAAAUGCGCAGAUAUCAGGAAGAACACCCGUGGCUAAGGCGGCUCUCUAGUACGGUACUGACGCUGAGACGCGAAAGCGUGGGAGCGAACAGG
rnacentral:rRNA from 1 species